GCGGGUGUGGCGGAAUUGGCAUAUGUGAUGGACUUAAAAUCCAUUGUCAUUGAGACAUGAGGGUUCAAAUCCCUCCAUCCGCAUCA
rnacentral:tRNA from 1 species